GAUGAACGCUGGCGGCGUGCCUAAUACAUGCAAGUCGAGCGAACAGAUGAGGAGCUUGCUCCUCUGACGUUAGCGGCGGACGGGUGAGUAACACGUGGUUAACCUACCUAUAAGACUGGGAUAACUUCGGGAAACCGGAGCUAAUACCGGAUAAUAUAUUGAACCGCAUGGUUCAAUAGUGAAAGACGGUUUUGCUGUCACUUAUAGAUGGAUCCGCGCCGCAUUAGCUAGUUGGUAAGGUAACGGCUUACCAAGGCAACGAUGCGUAGCCGACCUGAGAGGGUGAUCGGCCACACUGGAACUGAGACACGGUCCAGACUCCUACGGGAGGCAGCAGUAGGGAAUCUUCCGCAAUGGGCGAAAGCCUGACGGAGCAACGCCGCGUGAGUGAUGAAGGUCUUCGGAUCGUAAAACUCUGUUAUUAGGGAGGAACAAAUGUGUAAGUAACUAUGCACGUCUUGACGGUACCUAAUCAGAAAGCCACGGCUAACUACGUG
rnacentral:rRNA from 1 species